rnacentral:lncRNA from 1 species
GUAAUGACACUGAUGUCUAGCCACAAGUACUGUGGAAGCUUAUCAUUACUUUGUUUCAUCUCAGAACCACUAUGUAUUUUCUUUUAUUUCCUUUCUACUUUUCUGCCUCUAGUUAAAUUUGAGAUAUAUCUUAACUUUUCAUUUAGAGUUUAACUCUUCUUAUGGCUCAUGUAAAACCAAAGGAUGGCCUUAACAUAAACACAUACACCAAGUAACAGAAUAGAUUUCAGGAAAAUUAUCUUAGACCUAUGCAUCUCAAGUUAACCUACAAAGGAGCCAAAAAAACACAUUGGAGAAAGGCACCUCUUAGGUAAUCAGUGCUGGGGAACGUGGAUAUCUUACAAAAGGUUAAUGUCAUCCCUUCCUAUCUCCUAUAAGAAAUCAAACCAAGAUUGUUAGAAGACAAGACUUAACAUUUGGGAAUUAUUGGAGCAAAACAAAAGAAGUACUUGUAGAUGCUGAUAGACCAGUGACUUUAUAUCUACAUGACUCCUAAAGGACAGGAAAUUAAAGCCAAAGUUAACAAACAGUAUUAACUCAAAGGGAAAACCAUCCGCAGUGAAGAGACAGCCCUUAGGAUGGGGAACAUAUUUCCUAACUAGUCAACUGUUAAGCUAAGUAAAAAUAAAACAGGGAUGAAGUCAUUUAAAUGGAGAACAAAAAACUUGAAAAACUUUUAUUCAAAAUAACCGCAUGUCCAAAUGUAGAAAGGGAGCCGUACCCCUUGAUGUUUAUCCAAAGAGGUGGAGAACCUGACCACACAAACCGCUGCACCCACUGUUGAUGCCAUCCUUAGUCAGAACUGAGAAGCAGCCAAGAUCUCAUCACUAAUAAAGGGAUAAAGUGUCGAAUACCUGGUGACACAAUAUUCUUCCAUGUGAAGUGCAAAUGAGCUGCCCAGCCUUUUAAAAGAAGGAAAAGAAAAGAAAUGUGUCUAUUACUGAAUGGAAAACCAGCCCACUGUCUACCUAGUCAAGUGUUUCGCUAAUCUAAGUGGUCUGCAACCGUGUAUUUAUAUGACCCCACCUUGUCAGGAGCUGGGAUGGGUUUUUAUAAAGACAAAAGAGCAAAAGUUGCAGUGUAUGAGUAGAGAGCCAAAACUAGAAUAUCGGCAUAGCUCCACGGUGAACCUGCCAUUGCACCUACUGCCUGAUGGGCUUCUUAUUCAAUACAGUGCUUGCUUCAGGGCCUGAAGAACCAAAGCAACAGAUGCAAAAGGGCUACGUACUGCCUCAUCCCAACUGGGACACAGAAGAGGCAAGAGAGUGGAGGCAGGGGAAAGAUCAGUAUUCAUCAGUUGUGGUGAGAAAAACAGGGAUGACAGUGGUAGAGAACAAGAACUGCACUGCUGUAAGAAGUAUUUAUAAGGGUUUUAUAAGUUAGUCCAAGUUCAUCAAGUGCACAAAACCAAAAGGGAACCACACAGUGGCCUUGGGGAUCGCAGUGUGUCGGGGAAUCACAGUUGCUGGUGCUGGAAAUGGAAGGGCUUUGCUUGUGUGCAGGAGGUUAUGAGAAAAUCUUUCUGUUUUUCAGUUUAGCUGUGAACUUAGAACUAUUCUUAGAGGCUGUCUGUUGUCAGAAAAGUAAUGCAGACUUCUGUGUUGACCCCUGCUCUCAUAUCAUCUGGACUUCCGGUGCCCCCCCACCCCCCAUUCCCUAGUCUACUUUCUUAGUGUUUAAUAACGACCAUGUUUCAGGACUAUACCUGUUGUGCUAAUGUGUAGAUGCAUUCAUAUUAAUGUAGAGGAGGGAGUUUGUGACUGACUCCCCAGAAGAAAAUGGAAAGCCAAAAAAUUUCAAAAUCUAGCAUGGUUUUUUUUUGCCUCAUAUAUUAUUAUAUGAAUUAAAACUAAUUUCAAUAUUUUUGAGUCUUAAAUGUCACAGUGUCUGAAAAAUAUUGAAUAUUGUCAUUAAACUCAAUUACAAAAUAUUAGAAUAAUGAAACUGCCUGUAUCCAUGGUUCACUCCUCUUACCAUAAUUGGCAUCUUUUAACAAUGCCUUUUUAUAAGAAUUCAGAAUUGUGUUUUUCUCUUUUCUCUGCCUCUGCCUUGAGUGGUACAUUCAAAUCAGUAAUGGAGUAUAUGCUACUGAGAUUAGACAGAGCCCUUGACAUACUAAUUUGUAAAACUAUCUACAUAAAUUGGAAAGUACAUCUUGGAAAUAUUUCUGGUUAUAAUCUACAGUGCACAUGGUCCUGCUCUGAAGGAGAGAAGCAUUCUUAUAAUAGGGUGGUCUUGGUCCAAAGCCAUCUUCUGAGGAUCACAGACUACCUGAGAGAGAUGCCAGGUUAGACACACCCAGGUUAUGCCACCUGGGGCCAUGUGGUGCUUUCUCACCUGUGCUGCCUAAAACAGCUUUCAUUUGGUACAGUGAGACUGUUUAUGACACUGAGUAAAAAGUUAGCUCCACUGGCAUUAAACUGUCUCCUCUCUUGUUUUGUCUUUGCUAUUGAAAUUUUAUAUGAUAAUUUUCAAGAAUCAUAAGUAGGUGGCAAGAUUUUAUUUUUAAUUCAUAUUAAAAGUUGAGUCCUAUAUUUCAUUGUGGGUGACUUAAUUAUAUUUCUUAAAUGAAGGAAAGCCUGAUGUGUUACAAAAGUAAUUAUUUGUCAUGUCUUGGUUAACUUCUUUAAAUUGUUGAGAAAAAAAAAAAAGCCAUGUUAUAUGUCUAGAAAUUUUGAAUAUGAAUCUACAUGUUGAUUUUUACCAUCUAGUUACAAUCUUUUAUAUAUGAAUUAAUUGAUGCCUUAUGGGUCUCCAUAAGCUUUAUAUGUUUGUAUUUUGGGUGGUAAUAUUUCAUUUAUGCUAUUAAUAUUGAGAUGAUUUCAUAAGAAAAUAAAAUGUGCUUUAGUUUUAUUAUUGGUAGAUAAGUUUAGUUUAUGAAAAUAAAAGUGUCACUCUCUUAUUAUUCACCCUUUCUCUUAUUAAUGAGUGAGGCAUCAGCAAUACAAAGCUAACUAACUGAUACUGUAAAGAUGAGGUUGCUCGGGGCACCAGCUCCUUCCAAUGGGUGUGGUACAUAGAGCAUUUACCUUUCCAUUGAAGUUUACUAAGAUGGGAGGAGAAGCUGUCAGAGAGGAGCUGGGCAGUGUUAAGGUGCACUCAGUCUACAAAGUGUUCUACUGUAAGAGGGUGUGCAUAUCCAAGUGGUCAGAGCCUUAGUUAUUUUGAAAAACCAUUGAAGAAUCUUGGAGCUGUUUUCAAGCAAAGCAUAAACUGAAGUGACCUGACAAAACUGUGAAGAGAAGUGAAGGCUAGUUAGUGUUCUUAGGUUUUGUUGGGGUGGCGAAUAACAACUCCAUAAACUACUGAGAAAUGGUAGUGGAUUAUGUUGAAUAUUUAAUUUAAAAUUGUAGUUUUACUCAUGUUUUGAUUUGAAUUACUUUUAAAGCAAGUGAGAAAUUCAAGGAAAUUAAAGAAUUUUUUGGUAAAAUGAGACUGUCUGAUGGCUUUAAUGUCUUACUAAUUCGGUGAUUAUUCGGAGGCUUAUUCCGUGCAGCACCCUGCAGUUACUGUAUGGACAUUUGUAAGCACAUUGGCUUAAAAAUUUGGAGUUAAUUAGUAUUUAACUGUUCAUGAGUUUUAUUUAGAAUGUGGGGAAUUACUGACAACAAAGGCAAUGCAGUGAGCCACUGAGCUGGUAGCACCAGCCGCUUCACACAGGGAAAUACUAAAAUUGCACUACUUGUAUCCGUGCUUGCUUUGGUAAUAUUCAGUAGGAUUUAAUGUAAGCCAACCUAUAGUUCUACCUCUUUACUGGGAAAUGUCAUACUUAGCUAUUUCCAUCAAUG